rnacentral:sRNA from 1 species
UUACGUUGUAGAUGUAUAUGGGCUCCAG